AGAGCGAACGCUGGCGGCAGGCUUAACACAUGCAAGUCGAACGGACCCUUCGGGGUUAGUGGCGGACGGGUGAGUAACACGUGGGAACGUGCCUUUUGGUUCGGAACAACUCAGGGAAACUUGUGCUAAUACCGGAUAAGCCCUUACGGGGAAAGAUUUAUCGCCGAAAGAUCGGCCCGCGUCUGAUUAGCUAGUUGGUGAGGUAACGGCUCACCAAGGCGACGAUCAGUAGCUGGUCCGAGAGGAUGAUCAGCCACAUUGGGACUGAGACACGGCCCAAACUCCUACGGGAGGCAGCAGUGGGGAAUAUUGGACAAUGGGCGCAAGCCUGAUCCAGCCAUGCCGCGUGAGUGAUGAAGGCCCUAGGGUUGUAAAGCUCUUUUGUGCGGGAAGAUAAUGACGGUACCGCAAGAAUAAGCCCCGGCUAACUUCGUGCCAGCAGCCGC
rnacentral:rRNA from 1 species